UACGGAGGAUCCAAGCGUUAUCCGGAAUCAUUGGGUUUAAAGGGUCCGUAGGCGGUUUUGUAAGUCAGUGGUGAAAGCCCAUCGCUCAACGGUGGAACGGCCAUUGAUACUGCAAGACUUGAAUUAUUGGGAAGUAACUAGAAUAUGUAGUGUAGCGGUGAAAUGCUUAGAGAUUACAUGGAAUACCAAUUGCGAAGGCAGGUUACUACCAAUAUAUUGACGCUAAUGGACGAAAGCGUGGGGAGC
rnacentral:rRNA from 1 species